rnacentral:lncRNA from 10 species
CUCCUUCCAAGGGGCCUGGGACCCCUUUCCUCCUGUUCUGUCACCUGGAAGUACUCAGCAGCCCCUGAGGCCAGCCCUAGCCUGCUAUUGACUAAGGGACAGGAGUACCAAGGAAUGCACUGUUCCUGUUUGUUGAGCCUUUUUAUUUGGCAAAGCAUGGAGAGAGCUCUCUCAGCUUCCAGACUUGCCUCCUCAAAGCCUCCUCUUUGCUGAGGCUCCCGCCAAGCCUCUCCCUCACAGCUGCUCUCCGCCUUCCUCUCUCCCUCCGGGUCCAUUUCUGGAUCCCUCCUUCCUUUCUGCUCCCCGCCCUACGUUCUUCCCACCCCUCCCCUGUCCCCUUGGCCUCCCUCCCACUUUCUCUCCGGGUUUCCCUGCCUCUUUUCUUCUCUCCUUCCCCUUUCCUCCCGCUCCUCUGUCCUCCCCGCAGCACCUUUGCUUUGGCUCUUUAGCUUUGGCUGGUCUCUCCCCGCAUCUCCACCAGCCCGGCCUAUCCUCUCCCUAGUUACGCGCUGCUCCGUCCCGGCCUCCGCACACUCCCCAGGGAGGCCCUUGGCCGCCCGGCCGCCUCCUCCCCGCGUCAGGGCCUCCCGCCCUGGAGGCCCGCGCCGGGCCCCUUGCUCCUGCGAGUGCUCAUUACGGCCGCUCACCUCACACCCCGGUCCGCCCCCUCCCUCCUAGGGCGGCCUCCGCGGCAGCCCCCGCAGCUCUGCCCACGCCGACCCCGCCCCCCAGCACCACCACCACGGGCUCCGGCAGUCGGAAAAAAAAAAGAAAAUCACCGCGUCCCCGAGCGGAGACCGAGGCACUGCCCGCCCCAGCUGCUGCCCACGUCACAGUGCAGGCGGACCGGAGCCCCAGCGGCAGAGCAGCCUGCGCCCCGCGGGCCCCGCCGAAGAGUAGCGGCCCGGGGCGGGGGCUGGAGCGCGGGCGCCACGAGUCCCAGCACUGCCCGCCGCGCUGCCGGCGCCCCAGGCUGGAGGAGGAUGCCGGACCCGCAGGGAAUUCAUUCCUGUCCCAGCCCUGGCCGCCCUUCUGACGGAGGAGCGGCGGGCAAAACCCGCUGCCCCCCGAGCAGAAGCUGAGGGGAGACGCUAGGCAGCCUCGGGGCGACGGCGGCCAGUGGGCGCCGAGCGAGGAGCACGAAGAACCGGCUGCGGCCGGGCGAGGCGGCGGGAAGCGUUCGGAGCCGCUGCCGAAGCUUCCAGCAGAGCCCUCGAAGUCGUUCCGUUCCUUUCUUCUGUAAACACCUAAUUGCAAGCCCCCGUGGGCCAGGCAUGGGGUACCAGAGAUCAGUAAAGCGGAGUCUCUGCCCUCGGGACCCCGUGUGGCGAAUACAGUGUGGUAAAUGAAAUCACAAAUCGUGGGAAAUUGUGAAAGGAAUCACGUUCUGUACACACACGCGACAAACAGCUCAACACAUUUCACAUAUAUUUCAGUCCUCAUCUGUUCAGAAGCUACUAUUAAAAGCUACUAUUAUCCCACCUCACAGAGGAGGAAACCGAGGCUCAGUUGUGUAACUUCUUGCUCAGAGUCACACAGCUAAUAGUAAUACGGAAGCGGGGAUUCUUAAACUGCCUGAUUGACUCCAAAAUGGACUUUACUGCUUUCUACUGAUAAAAGAAUUUGAAAUGACACUCAGAGCUAACUCAGUCUUCUAGAACGCUGGAGCUGGGAGUCACUCUAGGGACAGCCCUUGUUCUGUAAACAAGGGAGCAACAGCCCUGACAGAGCCAACUGGCAGGUUCAUAGGUAGAAGAAACUCAUCUCCAGAUGAGUCUUUGGACUUGGGACUUGGGACUUUUGAGUUAAGACUUCAGAGGACUAUUAUGAAGGCAUGAUUAUAUUUUGAAAUGUGAGAAGGACAUGAGAUUCAGGGAGCCAGGGGCAGAAUGAUAUGGUUUGGAUGUUUGUCCCCUCCAAAUCUCAUGUUGAAAUGUGAUUCCCAAUGUGAUUUCCUGGUGGGAGGUGAUUGGGAUCAUGGGGGCAGAUCCCUCAUGAAUGGUUAACACCCGUUGGUGAUAAGUCAGUUCUUGCUCAGUUAGUUCACAUGAGAUUUGAUUGCUUAAGAGUCUGGGACCACACCCUUGUCUCUCUCUGGCUUUCUCUCUCACCAUAUGAUUCAUCUGCUCCUCCUUCACCUUCUACCAUGACUGUAAGCUUCCUGAGGCCCUCACCUCAGUGAGGCAGAUGCCAGCCCCACACUUCCUGUACAGCCUGCAGAACUGUGA